CUUCCCCUUUUUUGUUGAAUUCAGUGGCACUGCGAGGGUGUGGGAUUCUCCAGAGUGACAUACGACCUGAGGGGAGACUGAGCAGACUCUUGUGGAGCCAGCAGGGUGUUGGUUUGGUUUGAUUUUUCUGUUUUUCACUUCUUGGGAUUUAUAUUUCUGAAGACCUCAUAAUAGUUUGUUUUUAUUUCUUUUUUCUUUUGUUGUUGUGUUUACUUCUCCCUCUUUUGUCCUUCCAUUGUUCACCUCCUCCAGGAGCAGGAAGAGGCGUUUUUGCUGCAAGAUGGAAGGGAGCUGCAUAGUUGGGACCUGAACUGGUGUGUCUGGACCUGUGGUGUGAGACACUGCUGUGACUGAGGAAGUUGUCUGCAAAGGGCUGCCACCUGUAGCGGUGCCCAGGGAUCUAUGGGGCUUGCUCAAGGACCCGCAGACGUGCUGAGGCUGGGUUCAAAUCUGCAACCUUCUGAUUACAAGGACACAGGCUUAGCCCACUGAGCCACACGCUGCCUGCAGUCCUCUAUUUACGAACUUUCAACUUACAAAAUUUCAGACAUACGAAUGAAGAGGACUGUAGGUCCAAAUCGUGUCCCUUGGGCUCCCAUUUCCUGUCCGCAACAUGAUUUUUUUUUUCUGCGCGUCAAUUCCACCUAGUACGACUUCUGGCUGCUACUCUCACCGCGCAGCAGCAUAGCGUUUGCACUCCCAGCAUCCUAGUUCUUUGUACUUGCAUAUACUCUUAAAAUGAUGUUGAAUAACGACUUACGAACAUUUCAAGUUACAAACGACCGUUUGGAACGUAUCUCGUUCGCAAGUAGAGGAGCGUCUGUAGUUUUAAUUUUUUUCUUUUUAUAAGUAUAGUUAUAUUUUUUUAAAUAGAAAUAAAGUGCACAUAUCAGUAUGAUAACAUGGAUGAAUUUUAUGGCACUAAUUAAGGUUUAUCCAGGCCAUCUAAAAGUAAAGUAUAAAGGGUACAUAUAUGGCAUUAAGCACUUUACUGAUUUUUUCUGAGCAUUCAUAACACAUAUAUUUAUUUAAAAGAGUUCAUUAUUUUUAUACAAUUAAGGUUUUGACCAGUCAACAAAUGUAGCGUUAUUGUACAUAUUACAUGCAUACCAGAACAGCAACUGUAUCACUGCUCUGGUAAAACUGAUAAAUCAGCCAAAUGAUAUCCAGUCAACGGCGUUGUGUAGUCAGAAAAUAACCAGUGAUGGAUGGGGAGGCAGGCAGGCUGAGGCAGACGGAGCAUAACAUUGUCUGUCCUAUUAACAUAAUAUGCAGACAAUGUUAUGUUUAUGGAAAAGUCUGCCUGGGUCUGCCUGCUACCACAUUCAUCACUGGUCAGUGUUAGGAAAAGUAGUAAAGAUGCCCCAAUGUUCUUGGUUCAUCUUUUGAAUACAGAGUGGGUUAGCAAUUUAUGAUCAUGGGGGAAGUCUGGGAGAGAAUGGGGGUUCCGGUCGGCACUGCUAGGGUGCUAAGGAAGAUAAUUCAAUUGACAGUGGCCAGAGAAGGGGCUGAGCUACCAUUUGCUCUCACAGGAAAGUCUCCGUCCUGUCCUGUCCCAUCCCUGUCUCAGGAUCCUCACACUCCAGGAAGUCACACUUUAUAUGUAAAUUCACUCAGCACACCUACACACAGCACCUUGUUGGGGAAGGAUCUUUGGGGGUAUAAAGGGUCAUGAAGAAGUGCCCUUAAUUUGUAUUUGAACUGCCUUUCAAUACCCGGUGUAUGUCUACACUGCAUUACAUUUUAUUAUUUUUACUGUUCAAUAAAUCACUGUCUUGCUGAAACAA